rnacentral:rRNA from 1 species
AUGGCGGCGCAGGGCCGCGGUGACGCCGGGAGACGGACGUCGCGCGUGGAUGUGCUUCAGCUCCUCCGGCCCAGCGGCGAGCACCCCCUUGCAUACCCGCUGCAGGUGGAUUGCCUGGUCGGAGCACCAGGGCUGCGCAGGCUGGCGUGGUCCGCGCCGCCGACGGGCUACGAGCCUGGAUUCACAUUCGCCGAUCAGGAGCUAUACCAGGCCGGCCUCCUCGCCGGCGGUUUCGAUGACGGCACCGUCCGUAUCUGGAAUCCCGAGCCCGCACUGCUUUGGGAUCUUAAUCAGGGCGUUGCAGAAAAGCCAAAGCCUGUGCUGAAAAUGGACGACAACCCUGCAUUGGCGCUGGUUUACGAAAAAGAUCUCCCACAAACUGUCUCAGGUAUGAACGACACAAUUGGCAAAAUCGAAUGGGCAUCGAGAAACACGAAGUGGAAGAAAACUGGGUCAAAUGUUCGUGAUACAAACGCAGAGUGGUACAUCUGUCCCAAGGAGGUGCAUUAUCAAGUGACAAACGAAAUGGAUCUGCUGACGGAAUCUCAUGAUUUGGAAGGCCCGGUUCUGGGUUUAUCUUUCAGUGACAUCAAACCUCACCUGAUUGCUACUGGUGCUUCGGACGAGACCAUUACUAUCCACGAUUUAAGCUAUCCGAUUAAGCUAUCAAACCUGACACUUGAGUUGAAAGAUGCUGGAUCGUCGGAGGUGGAGACUGAGAUCACAUCCCUGAAAUGGAACAAGAUUUAUCCAUGCAUUCUUGCCUCCACGACUAAUAAAGGAAGCACAAAGUUUUGGGAUAUUAGAGCCAAAAAGUCGCUGAAGACAUGCAAAGCCGGAAAAGUGAAGAUGUGCUCAGAUCUUGAAUUCAGUCUGAGGAAUCCCAUGCACGCAGCUGUUUCAACAGUUGAUAAUGGUGCCUCAGCAGCAGUUACGAUCUGGGAUAUGAGAAAACUCAUUGUUCCAUAUUAUCAGUACAACGUUGGUGCUCCAGGGGUAAUCUCAUUGUCUUGGAAUCACUUAGGUCAGCUCCUCGCUUCACAUGUUGAUGGCUCGAUAAGUUGCUAUGACGUCUACGACAGGAAGAUGGUGGAAGGGGGCAGUAGCUAUGCUCACGCUGAUCUUGGAGUGACCUGGACUCACUCUGAAAAUGUAGUCGCGGCACUCUCUUCCAAGAAAGGAGUUAGGCUAUAUCAGCACUGA